rnacentral:rRNA from 1 species
ACGCUGGCGGCACGCCUAACACAUGCAAGUCGAACGAAGUAGCAAUACUUAGUGGCAGACGGGUGAGUAACAUGUGGGUAUCUGCCCUUUGGCCUGGAAUAACACGAGGAAACUUGUGCUAAUACCGGAUAAGUCUUUACGGAGAAAGCUUUAUGCACCAUUGGAUGAGCCUGCACUUGAUUAGUUUGUUGGUGGGGUAAUGGCCUACCAAGACUGUGAUCAAUAGCUGAUUUGAGAGGAUGAUCAGCCACAUUGGGACUGAGACACGGCCCAAACUCCUACGGGAGGCAGCAGUGGGGAAUCUUGCACAAUGGAGGAAACUCUGAUGCAGCGAUGCCGCGUGAGUGAAGAAGGCCCUUGGGUUGUAAAGCUCUUUCGUCGGGGAAGAAAAUGACUGUACCCGAAUAAGAAGGUCCGGCUAACUUCGUGCCAGCAGCCGCGGUAAUACGAAGGGACCUAGCGUAGUUCGGAAUUACUGGGCUUAAAGAGUUCGUAGGUGGUUGAAAAAGUUAGUGGUGAAAUCCCAGAGCUUAACUCUGGAACUGCCAUUAAAACUUUUCAGCUGGAGUAUGAUAGAGGAAAGCAGAAUUUCUAGUGUAGAGGUGAAAUUCGUAGAUAUUAGAAAGAAUACCAAUUGCGAAGGCAGCUUUCUGGAUCAUUACUGACACUGAGGAACGAAAGCAUGGGUAGCGAAGAGGAUUAGAUACCCUCGUAGUCCAUGCCGUAAACGAUGUGUGUUAGACGUUGGAAAUUUAUUUUCAGUGUCGCAGGGAAACCGAUAAACACACCGCCUGGGGAGUACGACCGCAAGGUUAAAACUCAAAUGAAUUGACGGGGACCCGCACAAGUAGUGGAGCAUGUGGUUUAAUUCGAAGAUACGCGCAGAACCUUACCAACACUUGACAUGUUCGUCGCGACUCUAAGAGAUUAGAGUUUUCGGUUCGGCCGGACGAAACACAGGUGCUGCAUGGCUGUCGUCAGCUCGUGUCGUGAGAUGUUGGGUUAAGUCCCGCAACGAGCGCAACCCUCACUUUUAGUUGCCAUCAUUAAGUUGGGCACUCUGAAAGAACUGCCAGUGAUAAGCUGGAGGAAGGUGGGGAUGACGUCAAGUCCUCAUGGCCCUUACGUGUUGGGCUACACACGUGCUACAAUGGUAUCUACAACAGGAAGCAAGACUGCGAAGUUAAGCAAAUCCCUAAAAGAUACCUCAGUUCGGAUUGCACUCUGCAACUCGAGUGCAUGAAGCUGGAAUUACUAGUAAUCGUGGAUCAGCGUGCCACGGUGAAUGCGUUCCCGGGUCUUGUACACACCGCC